CUUCCGGUAGCACCUACAGCCUGCAGAGGGCGCCGAGGACACAGUGCCACAGCAGAGUCAGUCAGUACCGUCAGUGUACCGUACCCGGCUGCAGAUGUUGAACAUGGACUGCUGCCAACCUGUACCAUUAUCACCAUUACCUCGCCUCGAUGACCUCUUACAUUCUCCUAAGACUUGCCCGUGGACGGUUGGCAGUAAUGAAGCCGAACUAAACUGAUUCACUUCAAAUUGAACAGUCACUUACGGACAAUCAAUUAGUGUCAGCAAACCUCUAAAAAUAUGUAGCUGUGUCCCAAGUUCCAAAUUCAGUUAAGUCUUGAGCCCAGUGUCAGGAUGUUGACCAUUCUGCCCUCAAAAACAGGUCAAAAAGAAAGAAGAGAAAGGGGACAAGACAAUCAAAUUUUCCACUUUGUUGUUUUACUUCAAAUAAUGUAUUACAGGGUUAAUAUUAGAACGAUAAAGUCUUUAGGUAACCAAGUGAUUUUAUCUCUUAAGGUUUGCUUUCAAGAGACUUGAAAACCAUUUUAAAAAAAAACUAGCUUAGAGAGCUUGGAUUUGCCUACAGCUGGUGACCAUACAUUGUUUAAGAAAAUGUAAUAAAAGCUUUUGAAAACCACAA